rnacentral:rRNA from 1 species
GAUGAACGCUGGCGGCGUGCUUAACACAUGCAAGUCGAACGGUGAACGAGGGAGCUUGCUCCCUCCGGAUCAGUGGCGAACGGGUGAGUAACACGUGAGCAAUCUGCCCUGGACUCUGGGAUAAGCGUUGGAAACGACGUCUAAUACCGGAUACGAGGCGUGGGGGCAUCCCCAACGCCUGGAAAGAACUUCGGUCCAGGAUGAGCUCGCGGCCUAUCAGCUAGUUGGUGAGGUAACGGCUCACCAAGGCGACGACGGGUAGCCGGCCUGGGAGGGUGACCGGCCACACUGGGACUGAGACACGGCCCAGACUCCUACGGGAGGCAGCAGUGGGGAAUAUUGCACAAUGGGCGCAAGCCUGAUGCAGCAACGCCGCGUGAGGGACGACGGCCUUCGGGUUGUAAACCUCUUUUAGCAGGGAAGAAGCGAAAGUGACGGUACCUGCAGAAAAAGCACCGGCUAACUACGUGCCAGCAGCCGCGGUAAUAC